rnacentral:rRNA from 1 species
GAACGCUGGCGGCAGGCUUAACACAUGCAAGUCGGCGGUAGCAGAUCUAGCUUGCUAGAUGCUGACGAGCGGCGGACGGGUGAGUAACGCGUAGGAACCUGCCCAGUAGUGGGGGAUAGCCCGGGGAAACUCGGAUUAAUACCGCAUACGCUCUACGGAGGAAAGAGGGGCUUCGGCUCUCGCUAUUGGAUGGGCCUGCGUGAGAUUAGCUAGUUGGUGAGGUAAUGGCUCACCAAGGCGACGAUCUCUAGCUGGUCUGAGAGGAUGAUCAGCCACACUGGGACUGAGACACGGCCCAGACUCCUACGGGGGCAGCAGUGGGGAAUAUUGCACAAUGGGCGCAAGCCUGAUGCAGCCAUGCCGCGUGUGUGAAGAAGGCUUUCGGGUUGUAAAGCACUUUCAGUGGGGAGGAAGGCCUCGUAGUUAAUAGCUGCGAGGAUUGACGUUACCCACAGAAGAAGCACCGGCUAACUCCGUG